ACUCCUACGGGAGGCAGCAGUGGGAAUAUUGGACAAUGGGGCAACCCUGAUCCAGCCAUGCCGCGUGUAUGAAGAAGGCCCUCGGGUUGUAAAGUACUUUCAGUGGGGAGGAAAGGCUGAUGGUUAAUACCUAUCAGCUGUGACGUUACCCACAGAAGAAGCACCGGCUAACUCCGUGCCAGCAGCCGCGGUAAUACGGAGGGUGCAAGCGUUAAUCGGAAUUACUGGGCGUAAAGCGUGCGCAGGCGGUCUGUUAAGCGAGAUGUGAAAGCCCGGCU
rnacentral:rRNA from 1 species